AGUGGAUGAAUGUUUGGUAAUGAGUAGUGUUUGGUAAUGAGUGGAUGUAAUGGGUGUAGUGGGUUGUGGUAAUGAGUGGAUGUAAUGGGUGUAGUGGGUGGAUGUUUGGAGAAUGGAUGUGUUGGGUGAAAUGAGUGGAUGUAGUGGUAGGUGAAUGUGUUGGGUGAAAUGAGUGGAUGUAGUGGUAGGUGAAUGGAUGUGUUG
rnacentral:lncRNA from 1 species